rnacentral:rRNA from 1 species
CCUACGGGUGGCAGCAGUGAGGAAUAUUGGUCAAUGGGCGGGAGCCUGAACCAGCCAAGCCGCGUGAGGGAAGAAGGUCCAGCGUAUCGUAAACCUCUUUUGUCAGGGGACAAAGGCGGGGACUAGUCCCCGGAUGAGGGUACCUGAAGAAAAAGCAUCGGCUAACUCCGUGCCAGCAGCCGCGGUAAUACGGAGGAUGCGGGCGUUAUCCGGAUUUAUUGGGUUUAAAGGGUGCGCAGGCGGCCUGUUAAGUCAGCGUGAAAAGCCCGGGGCGCAACCCCGGCGUGCGGUUGAAACUGGCGGGCUGGAGUGGGAGAGAGGUAUGCGGAAGGCGUGGUGUAGCGGUGAAAUGCUUAGAUAUCGCGAAGAACCCCGAUUGCGAAGGUAGCGUACGGGCGCCACACUGACGCUGAGGCACGAAGGCGUGGGUAUCGAACAGGAUUAGAUACCCGAGUAGUC